UUCGUCCUGUAGCAGAAGGUGCCCUGCGCCAUCGCUGGGUGACUGUCCUCACCACCUGAGGUCAGUGCCCUGCCACCACCACCCCUCUCGCGGAUCACUCUCAGCUUUGGCUUCUCUUACCCAGCCGUGGCUUCCGAGGUCUGCAUGCCAGUGGGCUCAUCCUCAGAGAGUGGAAUGGCGGCAGGGAGCAUCACUUUUGUCCCCGUACCCCUGCAUCAGGCUCAUGUGAGAACCGAGGCCAGGCUGUCCAAGGCUGUCUCUUCAUACUUCAACAGUCCUGAGUCCCAUGACCUCCCAGCAGCCCGACUCUGGCCUUGGUUACACUCACAGGUAGAGUCCUGCCUCCUCUCCCUCGCAUCCCCACCCCCUUCCCCAAAGGACUGUGUCUCUGAAGUCCUGGGCAGCUUUGCCUCCUGACCUAACUGCUGGAGACACUGGUGUUCCUAGGGAGGAGUUACUCUGCAUCUAACAGCACAGAAGCUCCUGGGGCAGGCGGUGGGGGAGGAACUGAGAAGAUGAAAAUGUCAGCUAGAGCCCUGGAGAAGAGGAGUUGACUUUUAGUCUCCACGUCUAAUUGGGAAUGAGUCGGGUUUUUAUACAUACACACGCACAUGCAUAUGACACGCACACAAAACCCUUGGGAUUGCAGCAGUGUUCGGACACGUCUUCCAAACCUAAUUCCACCUCCUGGCCUCCCUGGCUCUGUCCCCAGAAUCCCAUCCUCCUGAUCCCAGACACUUGGGUCUGGUCCUUCACAGUUGCUCGAGCCAGUGCUGGGUACGCGCCCUCUUACCCUGGGAAGCACCCUCUCCUCCUCUUAGGUCCAGUGCUCCAGGUUGUGUUCCAAGUGCUCGGCUUGUCUGAGAGGUUCCUGCCCACAAGGCCUGGAGGUGCUCUCAGUGUAGCUCCCAUGGUGUGGCUCACGUGGGGCCAGACGCAGCUGAGCUGAGCUGUGGAGCUCCAAAAACGGGGGGUUCCGGAAAGGAGGGUUUUUCAGGGUUUCCUGUGAACCAGGUAGGGGGAAUCUAGACUUCCUGGUGAACUUAGAUCUGUAGCUCUGGCCAAGGGGCUGGGAGGACAGAAGUGAGAAGGAUUCAUGGGAGUGAUGGGUGGUCGUUGGGUUGCUGGUUGGAGGGAGGUGGGGAGCCUGAGAAAGGCCAGAAUGUGGAUGGGCUGGUGUGACAUGGAGUCUGAAAUGGUCAGAGUGAUCCAGCUUGGGGUCUCCAGUGACUAGGAGAGUUGUCCCUUUGAAUAUGGUGUGGCUGUGAAGGAAGAAGCAGGAGGCCUGUUCACAUAGAAGAGCAAAGGUGGACACCGAAGUCCUGACCGUUGGCUGGGAUGGAAGAAUUCAUGUGUGAGAGACUCUUUCAUUGGUUCAUGCCGUGUGUGCCCCUGGGAGGGUGGACCUGAGGAAGGUUAAAGACCCCAGGCUGAUACCAUCUGGAAAGCGGGGGGCCUGGGAGUUAGCAAGGAGGUUCCUGGCCAGUUCCUGGCCACUGUGAACUCCGGCUCAGGAAGAGAGGCGCAGUGUGCAGGAACCUUAAGGACUGGGCUCAGACUGCUAUCAUGUAUGUGUGCCUUCUCUUGGUAGCCAGAGUCCGCUCUAGAUUCCCUGGUUAAAUAAAAGUGAAAGUGAAAUAGAAGGGAGAGUUCAGUGCUUUCGCAGAAGGAUUUCACUAUAUAUCCUGCCCUUCCCAGAACCAGCUCUGGCAGUGGAGAGAACUUUACCUCCCUUUGUGACUAGGUAAGUCCCUGGUCCUCUUUGGGCCUCAGUUUCCAUGCCUGUAAUGAAGGGGUUAGAUUGGACUAGUAACCAGUAUAAUGUUGAUGGUAAUAAGAGCUAGGGUGGGGAUCCCCUGGCUUUGUUUUUAGGGGCUGGAAGAGCUCUAGCCUAUGCCCGAUGCCAGUCCUCCAGGAGUUGUCACAGGUGGACAGGACAGAGUAAAUAGCAGUGCCUGACAGCCCACUGAAAAACUAGAGGUAGGGAGGGGCUGUGGAGUCCACAGGAAGAAGGCCACAUGUAUGCCUGGGAUCUAAGCAAGCCACUCAGAAGACGUGGGAGAAGCAGUUUUUCACCAUCUCCUCCCCCGCCUCCCCCAGAGAGGAGGAAGUUGUCACAGAUACAUAAAUCCAGGCGUGCCAGCUCCUGACACACGCAUCACGACCAUGAGACAGAACUGGAUUCCAGACCCCAGCCCUCUUUGGGCCCUGCUCCUCUGUGCCCACAUCGUCUCCCACCUGGCCAGAGCCACAUCUGUGCCUCAGGCCACUACAGCUGCCACUGCCUCAGCUGGGAUCGCAAAGGACACCUGCCCCUCCCGGCCCCCAGCGCUCCCGACAGCUAAGCAGUGCCCAGCAUUGGAGGUGACCUGGCCGGAAGUGGAAGUCUCACUGAAUGGAACGCUGACCUUGUCCUGUACUGCCUGCAGCCGCUUCCCCCACUUCAGCAUCCUUUACUGGCUGGGCAACAGCUCCUUCAUCGAGCACCUCCCGGGCCGGCUGCGGGAGGGCAGCACCAGGCGGGAGCACAGGGGCACGAGGACCCAGCUGUGGAGGGCCUUGGUGCUGGAGGAGCUGAGCCCCGCCCUGCGAGACACCAACUUCUCCUGUGUUUUCUCGGAUCUUGGGCAGACUGCCCAGCGUCACCUCGUCCUGGCCCAGCUCUGGGCUGGGCUGAAGACGAGCGUACCCCCGACACAAGAAGCCCUGUCCUCCAGCAAGUCCCCUCAGCCUCACCAUCCUGAUAAUGAACCCCAAGCUCCAAAGCCUGGUUGAAAUGCCACCUCUUCAUUGAGCUCUACACGCUCUCAGCCCAGGCCACAUUCUGCAUCGACUUAAUGUUGUAUUUGUUUCGACUGUCCCAGGGAAGAACGUGGCCUGUCUGAGGAGGGAGUGUGGGAAGAGGAGAGAGAAUGCCACUCAGAAGCUACAGACAAAACCAGAUUCAGGGGACACAGGCCCUCAGAAGAGAAGAGGCCGGCCCAUAAUGCUCCUCAGGAGCAGAGGCCAGAAAUGGAGUGUGGGAAGAUCCUGUGGCCUGAGAAAGGCCAGGAGAAGGGAUCUGAGAGAAGGUAUGUGGGUCUGGAGUCUCCACAGGGACAAAGGUACGCUGCUCUACAAAGCCCAGGUUUUCCUACUUUUCCCACACAGAU